rnacentral:lncRNA from 1 species
UUUGAUGCUUAUCUCAUGUUUUUUUAACUAAUGUAUUUGCUAAUAAUUCUGGGUAAAAUUUUUAUUUUUUUUUAAAUUAGAAGAUGUAUAUUUUAUAUAAUCAAAAUAAGCAAGCAGCACGCAUGCAAGACAUCUACAUCACACAAAUGUGAGAAAACUAUCAACACACAGACGAAGCUAUUAACCAAACAAAAGUGGAAAAACUACCUGCAUACAGGCGUGACACUUGAGCUAGGGGAAGAUGAUGAAGAUGAUCAAUUCAAAGUGGGAUU